UGGGGAAUAUUGGACAAUGGGGGCAACCCUGAUCCAGCCAUGCCGCGUGUGUGAAGAAGGCCUUUUGGUUGUAAAGCACUUUAAGCAGUGAAGAAGACUCCAUGGUUAAUACCCAUGGACGAUGACAUUAGCUGCAGAAUAAGCACCGGCUAACUCUGUGCCAGCAGCCGCGGUAAUACAGAGGGUGCAAGCGUUAAUCGGAAUUACUGGGCGUAAAGCGAGCGUAGGUGGCGUGAUAAGUCAGAUGUGAAAGCCCCGGGCUUAACCUGGGAACGGCAUCUGAUACUGUUAGGCUAGAGUAGGUGAGAGGAAGGUAGAAUUCCAGGUGUAGCGGUGAAAUGCGUAGAGAUCUGGAGGAAUACCGAUGGCGAAGGCAGCCUUCUGGCAUCAUACUGACACUGAGGUUCGAAAGCGUGGGUAGCAAACA
rnacentral:rRNA from 1 species